AGAGAGAGACAUGCGCGCAUAUCAAUAAGCGGAGGAAAAGAAACUAACAAGGAUUCCCCUAGUAACGGCGAGUGAAGCGGGAAGAGCUCAAAUUUGAAAUCUUAAAGGGUUUCCCUUUACGAAUUGUAGUUUAAAGAAGUGUUUUCCUGUUGAGGUUUUGGUAAAAGUUCUUUGGAAUAGGACAUCAUAGAGGGUGAGAAUCCCGUAUUUGACCUUUACUUUCAACCUUGUGAUACACUUUCAAAGAGUCGGAUUGUUUGGGAAUGCAGUCCAAAAUGGGUGGUAAAUUUCAUCUAAAGCUAAAUAUUGGCGAGAGACCGAUAGCGAACAAGUACCGUGAGGGAAAGAUGAAAAGAACUUUGAAAAGAGAGUUAAACAGUACGUGAAAUUGUCAAAAGGGAAGCGUUUGACACCAGUGUUGUUUUUCUGAAAAUCAAUUAAAGAACUGUUUAUGCUAAGUUGUUUAGACUUUAUCAGCUAACUGUUUAGUUUUGAGCUUUUCUUUAAUGCACUUUUCAGUUAACAAGUCAACAUCAAUUUCUUUUGCUGUAAAAAAGCUUGAGGAAGGUGGCUUGAGAUUCGUCUUAAGUGUUUAUAGCCUCUUGCCUAUGCAGUCGGAGAGAUUGAGGUCUGCAGCGUAGAUCCUUCGGGGCUAAAUGCAUUUGUGCUAAGUUAUAGCAUUUUAUAGACAACUUGUUGACUAUGAUUUGUCUUGUAGCUUACUCGCUUAUGUUAUUUUACCUACGCUUAGGAUGUUGAGCGCAUGUCUCUCUCU
rnacentral:rRNA from 1 species